GGGGCGCCCCGCUGGGCGCGGGCGAGGCCAUUCUGCCGACGGGGGGGAGAGCGGAGUCAACGGCGCCUCCUGCCAGGAGUUCGUCCUCUUAGCGGCGUGAGCCAGCAUUAAUUCAGGACUUUCACAAGACUGGACCCAAUAACUUCCCAUCAUGGAGGGAUAAGUGCACACCAGGAACUCACAGAAUUCUGGAUUGGAAAUGGAAAAAAAAGAAAAGAAAGAAUCUGAUGUGGACCAGAUUGCUGCUGAAGAUACCACAUCAGGAAAGAUGACCAGGAACUUCCCAGUCUUUACAACCUAAACCAUCCUGGCCUCUCAAACACUCAAGAAAUGUUUGUGCCUACGAUAAGCAAUGAACUAUCUGAAAGAAGAAAUCCUAAAACCCAGCUGGGAUCCAGAAACCAGACUCUCAGGCCCGCAGGUCAGUCUCUCCUUCAUCUGUGUUUGCUCAGUCUGUAAACUUGGCCUUUUCAUGUGGUUGGUCUGACUGUUAAACAGAGAGAGACUGAUGAGUUUGGAGUUCCGGGAUCAUGAGGAUAAAGCUUUAUAAUCAAGUCUUUGGCAGGGGACCUCUGUCCCUAUCAUGUUUUUCAAAUAGUAAUUCAAUAUUAAAUGUAUGCUAAAGAGGGCUAUGAGGUGGAUCAGAGGAGAGAGGCACUUGCAGCCAAGCCUGGCCGUCUGAAUUUGAUCCCUGGGACCCACGAGGUGGGAGAAGCGAACAGACUCCUGCAGUUGUCCGCCCCUUCUCACUGGAAUGUGGUGCAUAUAAACUGUUUGUACCAGCAACAACACAAACCCGUGUAGGAAACCUCUCUUUUGCUCCACUACCAAACUCAUCCAUUCCCACGGAAUAAAAUUUAAACCUGCCUGCCAAAGCAUGCAAGGCUUUUCCCCAAGUCAUUUGACCCUUUACGCCCCCCCUGCAGCAGCCUGUACAAACACUUGUCACAGAAGCAUUUGCCCAGUGCAAGACCCUCAGAGUCAGCCACAGAGUGGGUUUGAAAUCCCCACUCAGAGACGCGGCUCUCCUUCAGUCUAGCGGGAUGGCUUAGUACAUAGAGGAACUUGCUACCAGGCCUGACAAUCAGCAUUUUAUUCCCAGGAUCCACAUGAUAGAAGGAGACAACCAAUUCUUGUAAGUUGUCCUUUGACCUUUGUAUACUGUAAAUGUGAGUGCAUGCACAA